GCAGAACGCGAAGAACCUUACCUACCCUUGACAUGUCUGGAAUACUCGCAGAGAUGUGAGAGUGCCCGAAACGGGAGGCCAGAACACAGGUGCUGCAUGGCUGUCGUCAGCUCGUGUCGUGAGAUGUUGGGUUAAGUCCCGCAACGAGCGCAACCCUUGUCAUUAGUUGCUACAUUCAGUUGGGCACUCUAAUGAGACUGCCGGUGACAAACCGGAGGAAGGUGGGGAUGGACGUCAAGUCCUCAUGGCCCUUAUGGGUAGGCGUACACACGUCAUACAAUGGCUGGUACAAAGGGUUNCCGAACCCGCGAGGGGGAGCGUAAUCCCAUAAAACCAGUCGUAGUCCGGAUCGCAGUCUGCAACUCGACUGCGUGAAGUCGGAAUCGCUAGUAAUCGUGGAUCAGCAUGUCACGGUGAAUACGUUCCCGGGUCUUGUAC
rnacentral:rRNA from 1 species